rnacentral:rRNA from 1 species
GGGGAAUAUUGCACAAUGGGCGCAAGCCUGAUGCAGCCAUGCCGCGUGUGUGAAGAAGGCCUUCGGGUUGUAAAGCACUUUCAGCGGGGAGGAAGGCGAUAAGGUUAAUAACCUUGUCGAUUGACGUUACCCGCAGAAGAAGCACCGGCUAACUCCGUGCCAGCAGCCGCGGUAAUACGGAGGGUGCAAGCGUUAAUCGGAAUUACUGGGCGGAAAGCGCACGCAGGCGGUCUGUCAAGUCGGAUGUGAAAUCCCCGGGCUCAACCUGGGAACUGCAUCUGAUACUGGCAAGCUUGAGUCUCGUAGAGGGGGGUAGAAUUCCAGGUGUAGCGGUGAAAUGCGUAGAGAUCUGGAGGAAUACCGGUGGCGAAGGCGGCCCCCUGGACGAAGACUGACGCUCAGGUGCGAAAGCGUGGGGAGCAAAC